GACGAACGCUGGCGGCGUGCUUAACACAUGCAAGUCGAACGAUGAAACCUAGCUUGCUAGGUCGAUUAGUGGCGAACGGGUGAGUAACACGUGACUAACCUGCCCCUUUCUCUGGGAUAACGCUCCGAAAGGAGUGCUAAUACCGGAUACUCACACCGAGGCACAUGCCUUGGUGUGGAAAGUUUUUCGGAAAGGGAUGGAGUCGCGGCCUAUCAGCUUGUUGGUAAGGUAACGGCUCACCAAGGCGACGACGGGUAGCCGGCCUGAGAGGGCGACCGGCCACACUGGGACUGAGACACGGCCCAGGCGCCUACGGGAGGCGGCAGUGGGGAAUAGUGCACAAUGGGCGCAAGCCUGAUGCCGAGACGCCGCGUGAGGGAUGAAGGUCUUCGGAUUGUAAACCUCUUUCAGCAUCGACGAAGCGAAAGUGACGGUAGGUGCAGAAGAAGGACCGGCCAACUACGUGCCAGCCGCCGCGGUAA
rnacentral:rRNA from 1 species